rnacentral:rRNA from 1 species
GACGAACGCUGGCGGCGUGCUUAACACAUGCAAGUCGAACGGAAAGGCCCUGCUUUUGUGGGGUGCUCGAGUGGCGAACGGGUGAGUAACACGUGAGUAACCUGCCCUUGACUUUGGGAUAACUUCAGGAAACUGGGGCUAAUACCGGAUAGGAGCUCCUGCUGCAUGGUGGGGGUUGGAAAGUUUCGGCGGUUGGGGAUGGACUCGCGGCUUAUCAGCUUGUUGGUGGGGUAGUGGCUUACCAAGGCUUUGACGGGUAGCCGGCCUGAGAGGGUGACCGGCCACAUUGGGACUGAGAUACGGCGCAGAAUCCUACGGGAGGCAGCAGGGGGGAAUAUUGCACAAUGGGCGGAAGCCUGAUGCAGCAACGCCGCGUGCGGGAUGACGGCCUUCGGGUUGUAAACCGCUUUCGCCUGUGACGAAGCGUGAGUGACGGUAAUGGGUAAAGAAGCACCGGCUAACUACGUG